ACACAUUACCUGGCAAGCGAGACACCUUGAUCAUAAAGGUUUCCCCAGGGUGAGGCUCAUCCAUUGCACUGCAGGUGUGCUGACCCCUGCGAUCUCCCCAAAUGCGGGAAACCUGACUGCAUAAUUUGUGGUACUUAUAACUACGCAUAACGCUGUGGAAUUGUAU